rnacentral:lncRNA from 1 species
UGGGAAUUAGAUGCAGCUAUGCUCCGUCGGCUUGAGAAGCGGGUAUGGCUACUACUGUGUUUUUAUUCCAAAUUGUUUUUCCAAACAGCUACCCUUUCAUUUCAGUCAUGCCUUGGUUGAAUAUUCUUUUGUGGGGCUUAUAUGUCAGACCUGAAGAAGCUUUUAUUUGAAUUCCAAUCAGUCUCAAGAAGAGCAUAUCUUACUGUUAUGAAAAUGGAUGCUUGAGAUGUAUCCAGAGUAUUCGAUUAGUAGUAAAUAUUAGAAGAGGGCAUGCUAACAUAUAAUAUUGUUUCUUUACUGGGCGGUAAGACUAAAAUCAACAUUUUUCUUAUUUAUAGUUUAUCUAUACCCAAACCCAUUACAACAGAACAUUGAUUUGCAACUGCAUAUCAUGGACAGAUCAAAGUAGGAAGACAUGCUUGUGUGGGUGAGGCCUUUAUUGUAAAAAGAAAGAAGGUGUGAUACGUAGGAAACAAUCCAUGCCAUAUAUUUGAUAAAUUAACUGCACAAUUUUUUUUGGCAUCGUUCAUCAGAUUCUUGUACCACUUCCUGAAGCUGAAGCAAGGCAAGCCAUGUUUAAGGAACUUUUGCCAGCAAUGACCUCAAAUCUAGAGGUCCCAUAUGAUAUCCUGGUCGAAAAGACUGAAGGGUACUCAGGUUCAGACAUCCGUCUCGUGUGCAAAGAAGCUGCCAUGCAACCACUGAGACGUCUCAUGUCAGUUCUUGAGGCCAGUGAUGAGCUGGUGCCAGAGGAAGGUUAGUUUUGAUUUCUUGAUUUCCUAAAACUCUUUGUACUUUCCUGUAAAAUACAAUAGUGCCUAAGUUUUUAGACUUGUUCUUGCCGAUCUGAUCAAACAUAUUAUUACCCUUCGUGGUGUAGAGCUGCCUGAGGUUGGCCCUCUCAAACCUGAAGACGUCGAACUUGCUUUGAGCAACACAAGGCCGUCAGCCCAUCUCCAAGCACAUCGUUAUGAAAAAUUUAACCAGGACUAUGGGAGCCAUAUUCUUUCUUAAGAGCAAACCACAAUCAGCUUCUCAGGUCAGUUGUGCGCGAGAAUAUGCCUCGCCAAGCAUGUACUAGUCAAUUAAAAAGAAACUAAAAUUUCCCUCCUUGAAGAAUGUAGAAUAUUUAGCUUUGUUGUGGUCUGCAGGUUUGCCAAGUGAUGCACGGUGGUGGUUAAUUUGAACGUGUACUGGUACAAAGCUAUCUUGCCCUACAAGGCCACACCAAUCAAAAUGGCCUUGUCGCACAUUAUAUUUAUCACUUGACAGUCGUCAAGCAGGAUGCAAAAAUUGUUGCUAAAUACAUUAGACAGAUUUAAGUUGCGAUGCAAUCAUUGGGCAUCUGAUUUUUCUGCGUCAGCUCUGCUUGACUAGACUGGAAUAUUACCCUGUAAUGAUCAUACUCCAAAAUAAUUAACAAAUAAUUCAUUGAGUAGGAUUUAUGAUGAAAUAAAUAAAUGUUAGUCAUGUUGAAUGGAACAUUACAGUCCAGUUCUUUG